CACAUUUUCACUCCUGAGCUUAUCUCCAGAGCAGGGGAUCCUUGCUCUGACCAGGGCCACAGACAUGGAAGGAAUCUGUCUCAGUGGCCUCCACAGUUCCCUGCAGUCUGUGUUGGAGAUGCUGGCCAUCCUGGACUGGGUUCCUGGAAGCAGACUCUGAGAUGGAGAAGUACAUGUGUAGGAGAUCUGGAAGGAGGAUGGAGGUGAUCCUGGCUGUCUGGGUCAAGGUCACCAAAAUGUAGGAGACUGAGUCAGCAUGGAGGAGGCCAAGGAGCCUAC